ensembl:lncRNA
GUUCUCUGCCCAGUUAAUGCUGUGAACUGCAGUCAUUCAGCUCAACGUUUUCCCUGCAGCUCUGUUCCCCUGCCCCUCUCCUGAAGUGGUGAGACUGUAGCUGCAAGAGAAGGGAGUGUCUUCAAAACUGCUUUCCUGAAAGAAAGAAAAAAAGGAGCAGGACAAAGGACUUGGACACUAGACAGGGAGUUCUCACAGACUCCCCCACUUUUCAUUCCUGAAAUGGUUGAAGAACUGUGCUUUGCUGGGAGCUGCAGGAGCGUGGUGUUGCCCAGGACCAGAGAACUGCUGUGCGCCAGACAGGUGAUGCUGCACAUGGGGUCGGCAGCUCUUCUCAGGUUGAAACUGCGUAGCCAGAGGAGUACGACCCCUUCAGGCAUUCAGCUUUCAGAAAGACCCAGGUCUCCUCAGAAAAACAUCAAGAAGACCAAAGGUUGGAGCUCAAAGCUUCUCACUGAGUGGCAUCAUUUUGGACAGCCCUUGGAAAGGUAUGGUAUUUGUAAAGUUUCCAAAAUUGGCAGCAAGAGAAAGUAA